rnacentral:tRNA from 1 species
GGCUUAGGAGUUUGAAUAGAACAAUGAAUUGCAAGUUCAUAGGUACUUAGUGGUGUAGGCUU